UACGUAGGGGGCUAGCGUUGUCCGGAAUCAUUGGGCGUAAAGAGCGUGUAGGCGGCCCGGUAAGUCCGCUGUGAAAGUCAAAGGCUCAACCUUUGAAUGUCAGUGGAUACUGCCGGGCUAGAGUCCGGAAGAGGCGAGUGGAACUCCUGGUGUAGCGGUGGAAUGCGCAGAUAUCAGGAAGAACACCAACGGCGAAGGCAGCUCGCUGGGACGGUACUGACGCUGAGACGCGAAAGCGUGGGGAGCGAACAGG
rnacentral:rRNA from 1 species